rnacentral:rRNA from 1 species
UGCGUAGGCGGGCUAAUAAGUCAGUGGUGUAAUCUCUCGGCUCAACCGGGAAACGGCCAUUGAUACUGUUAGUCUUGAGUUCGGUUGAGGUAGGCGGAAUGUGUAAUGUAGCGGUGAAAUGCUUAGAUAUUACACAGAACACCAAUUGCGUAGGCAGCUUACUAGACCGACACUGACGCUGAGGCACGAAAGCGUGGGGAGCGAACAGGAUUAGAUACCCUGGUAGUCC